GUAAGGGGGCUUUCCCUCCCACUGGCCGCCGGGUGUAAGGGGACUUUCCCUCCCACUGGCCACCGGGUGUAAGGGGACUUUCCUCCCACUGGCCGCCGGGUGUAAGGGGGCUUUCCCUCCCACUGGCCACCGGGUGUAAGGGGACUUUCCCUCCCACUGGCCACCGGGUGUAAGGGGACUUUCCCUCCCACUGGCCACCGGGUGUAAGGGGACUUUCCUCCCACUGGCCGCCGGGUGUAAGGGGGCUUUCCUCCCACUGGCCGCCGGGUGUAAGGGGGCUUUCCUCCCACUGGCCGCCGGGUGUAAGGGGGCUUUCCUCCCACUGGCCGCCGGGUGUAAGGGGGCUUUCCCUCCCACUGGCCGCCGGGUGUAAGGGGGCUUUCCCUCCCACUGGCCGCCGGGUGUAAGGGGGCUUUCCCUCCCACUGGCCGCCGGGUGUAAGGGGGCUUUCCCUCCCACUGGCCGCCGGGUGUAAGGGGGCUUUCCCUCCCACUGGCCGCCGGGUGUAAGGGGGCUUUCCCUCCCACUGGCCGCCGGGUGUAAGGGGGCUUUCCCUCCCACUGGCCGCCGGGUGUAAGGGGGCUUUCCCUCCCACUGGCCGCCGGGUGUAAGGGGGCUUUCCCUCCCACUGGCCGCCGGGUGUAAGGGGGCUUUCCCUCCCACUGGCCACCGGGUGUAAGGGGGCUUUCCCUCCCACUGGCCACCGGGUGUAAGGGGACCGCUAAAAUAAACUUUAUUCCAGCACAUUAGGUAACGCUUCACACCAGCACCUUCUUUGAGGCGCUCUACUGGGGCUUAACCAUAGAAACAAGCCCUAGUAGGUGGUUGGAACAGUUCAAUAAGUGAUGCUGGUGUGGAGGUUUUUCUGAUGUGCUGCAAUAAAGCUGAUUUUAGCGGUGUUGGGGCUUCAUUUCUACCCUGGUUUGGGAAAUACUGCUGGAAUCUUUUUAUUUUUUUCCCCUUUUAUGGCCGAUAAAAAAUUUCCCUUCGGAGGGAAAAAUGACUUUUUGGGGGGGGGGGUUUGAUCACUCAUGGGUCCAACAAUAAACCCGUCCUAACAGUUAUAACUUUUAUAGGAAUCGCCGGUCCUGGAUUUGCUGCAGACAGAAAUCCCAUAAAGCAGUGAUGGAGAACCUUGGCACCCCAGAUGGUUUGGGACUACAGUUCCCAUGAUGCUCCUCUACACUGCAGAGUGCAUUAGCAUUGUGGGAAAUGUAGUUCCGAAACAUCUGGGGGGCGCCAAGGUUCACCGUCACUGCUGUAAAGCAUCUGAUGGUGUCGUGGGCGGACUUCAGAAAGGUCAAUGGCGUAAAUUGGCAGAACGGGCGCUAACCUGGGACAGAUGAUUGGUUACGUGCGCUGUGUGCGUCCUUCAUGUAUUUGUUCCUGCACAGUUUACUGCUUCUUUCACUUAACUGAAGCCCAGAGCCCCUGAACAGCAGUAAAUCACAAAGCGGAAGUAAGCCCACAGAUUUUAAUGUUUUAAAAAAAAAAAAAGUUACACUUCUGGGACGGUCAACUGUCACAUUUGGGCCCCCCCCCCCCCCAUAUAUAGGUCCGCUCAGCUUUACACAUUAGUCAUAAUUUAUUUUUGUACAGAAUAAAGGGACUAGUUUUCUUACCUGCGCUGAGGUCACGGCGUACAAUAUGGCUCCUCCCAUGUUCUCUCAGUGACGACACCCCCCCUGAUUAGGCGUUAAACAGACGACCUAAAUCUGUUUUUAGUGAAUUAUUUUUCUCUGUGACCUUCUUUUGAUAUCGUCCUUUAAAUUCACAUCACCGGCUCGGGCGGCUUUUACCAUUUUUCUCAGCGGACGCCAUGUUUGUCGGGGAAAGUGGGGGGGAGCCAAUAAUUAAGUAGCCUGAGCUGAGGAACGUGCUGCCUCUGCACGCUAAAGAACUGCCAGUCUCGGCAUGCCAGCUGCUAUGGUAUUUCUAUACCCCCCCCAUCAUUCUCGCUUGAAAUGCGCAGAUUUUUCUAAUCAUGCUGUAUAUCAAAACCCCUCCCCCACCCCAUCAUUGCAGUGCCUGUGGGAGUGGCCAAGCCAAGUGUCCUCCCCCUUCCAUCUCUAAAAAUGUGAAUGUUAUACCAUAGAGCGGUGAUGGCACCCCAGAUGUUUUGGAACUACAUUUCCCAUGAUGCUCAACUUGCACUGCAGUGUAGAGGAGCAUCAUGGGAAAUGUAGUUCCAAAACAUCUGGGGGUGCCGAGGUUCACCAUCCCUGCCAUCGAGGCUACACCCAAUUCUAAUUAUGCUGUACACAAAACCACUCCCCCCUUCACUGUAGCGCCUGUGGGAGUGGCCAACUCAAGUGUCCUCCCCCCAUCUCUAAAGUUUGUAAUUGGAGGCUACGCUCAUUUCUAUUUGUGCUUUACAUUAAAACCCCUCCCCUUUUACUGUAGUGCCUGUGGGAGUGGUCAAGCAUCCCAGCCCCUCUCCUCUCUAAAAUCCAAAUGUUAUAUAAUAGAGGGCUACUCCCAUUUCUAAUCAUGCUUUAAAUUAAAACCACGCCCCCUUUCAAUGCAUUCUGUGGGAGUGGCCAAGCCAAGUAUCCACCCCCUUACCUCUCUAAAAAUCUGAAUGUUAUACCAUAGAGGCUACUCCCAUUUUCUAAUAAUGCUUUAUAUUAAAAAAACCCUCCCCUUUUCUGCAUUGUCUGUGGGAGUGGCCAAUUAUCCUCCCCUUGCCUCUCUAAAAAUCCGAAUGUUAUACCAUAGAGGCUACGCCCACUUCCAAUCGUGCUUUACAUUUAAAAAACACUCCCCUGUCACUGCAGUGCCUGUGGGAGUGGACAAGACGAGUAUCCUCCCCCUUCCAUCUCUAAAAAUCUGAAUGUUAUACCAUAGAGGGCUACGCCCAUUUCUAAUCGUGCUGUACACAAAACCCCUCCCCCUUCACUGCAGUGCCUGUGGGAGAGGCCAACUCGAGUGUCCUCCCCCCAUCUCUAAAGUCCGUAAUUGGAGGCUUUGCUCAUUUUCUAAUCAUGCUUUACAUUAAAACCCCCUUCACGUCCACUGCAGUGCCUGUGGGAGUGGCCAAGCGCCCCCCCCCCAAAAAAAAAUCGGAAUGUUUUACACCAUAGAGGCUACGCCCAUUUCUAAUCGUUUUACAUUAAAACCACCCCCACCUUCACUGCAGUGCCUGUGGGAGUGGCCAAGAAUCUGACCCCACCCCACCCCCCAUCGGAAAGUCCGAACUUUAUAUUGUAGAGACAUAAAAGAUUGUGUAUCUAUUUAUCUUUCGGGUUUUAUACAUUGAAUUUAAUGAUAUUUUUGGUGACAAACUCUUGUUGCUUUAAUAAAAACAUUUUAAACCU